rnacentral:rRNA from 1 species
GCAAGUCGAACGGGAUUGAUUGGUACUUGUAUCAAGCAUGAGAGUGGCGCACGGGUGAGUAACACGUGGGAACAUACCCAGAAGUGGGGGAUAACAGUUGGAAACGACUGCUAAUACCGCAUAAUCCCUGAGGGGGAAAGCUUUAGUGCUUUUGGAUUGGCCCGAGGUAGAUUAGGUAGUUGGUGAGGUAAUGGCUCACCAAGCCUACGAUCUAUAGCUGGUCUGAGAGGAUGAUC